AUGUUAUGAUAUGAUAUUUAGCUCAAAUAAAAUUGGUUUGGUUGAAUUUGGGUAUGGCUUGAAUAUGGGUUAAAGCUUGGAAAAGACGUUAUGGGCUAUGUUACCACUUACCACUAUGAACAAUUUUUUAAUUUAGUAAACAGACAUUCUUUUGGUUCCAAAAGAGGAAACCUUUUACUUUCUUUAGGUUUUCUUGGUCGACCAAACAACCUCACCGAACCACUUACCACAAAUGCAUGUAUGUGAAAAGAAUCCUAACAAUCAUUCUAAUCUAAUGUCAUUAUAUUUGUCUCUAUAUAUAUUUCAUAGCACCACCAAACUUGAACCAUUUCUAACGCAAAACUAUUAAAAUUAAUUUUUUGUUUUCGAAACUAACAUAUUAAAGUUCGUGUUAACAAGUAUAUACCCGUUUUUGUUAGCAUUUAAUUGUUUCACUAACUUUUGUUUAAAAAAUUCUAAACGAUUGAUAAUCAAGUGGACAUAUUUAUUAUUUAUGGUUACCAAUCAUGCGAACCUUAAAUGUCGAUUCUAUAGAAGUGGUUGCCACCAUUUCUGAUUUGGACCUUGCUAAACCAAGGUUUCUCGUUUCCUCACCCACCAUUUAAUUUUAACUAAUUUUUAUAAUGUCUAUAUAUAUCAUCCAUUAUGUUUUCUAAUCUCAAACGAAUAUAAUAAAUAUAUUACGUAAAACAUUUUAAAUAAAAGGGGGAUGGAUUUAGAACUUACAAUGAGAGCCAAGUAUCUACAACAAGAGGCGCCUCUAUCAACACCAGAGUUGCAUUCUUGAAAAUCUGAUUCUUCUCUAUUCACUAAUCUUCUAUUUCUUCUUCUUCUUCCAUUUUCUCUUCUCAUUAUGUGUAAAUUAUCUCUGUUCAUAAAUUAAAUUAUUAUUUUCAUUAGUUUUGGAUUAUUGUUUAUUAUAAAAACUGGGGAAAAAGGAAGAGGAAUCAUUCAAUAAGCUGGACUAUGUUUUCAAAAUCUAUUUUUCAUUCUAAAUCUUCAAAGUUUAAACUAAACCUGAAAUUUUUGUUUUUAAAGAAAAUUCAUUACCUGAUUGUGACUGCUGUUUCAAUAAAUCGAGAUGGUUUUGAAGUUGUGGUGUAUCCAGGUUUAUACUCCUGCAAUAUUACAAAAUUUAUUACACUUUUUUUUGUCACCAUUAUAGUGUUAAUUCUAAAUACAUUUAUAGAAAGUAUACAAGCUGGUUAAACCGAUGUUUACUGAAUUAAUAUGUCAAGUAAACCAAUACAAAAAUCGACCCCAAUAAAGAAAACCAACCAUAACCGAACCGAAACUGAAAUAAGCUGGUGAAAAACUUCAUUAUAUUGGAGACAUUUUUCAAUUGAAGAUACAUUUUUCUAAUGCAUUUGCUCCUAACUCUUUUUUUUGUCAGUCUGUUAUGGGUCCCAUAAAGCGAUGGAUGAAUCCAGUUACCAUUUUUGUUCCUAACUCUUUUUGUAAUCCAUUUAAUGUAUAGAUUACACAAAUAAACAAAUAAAACUCGAGAAUAUGAUAUCAUGAACAGCGUGGCAUUGGCUCAUUGAUUACGAUCUUUUACGAGAAUCGAAUAUUUUUCCUUUUCUAGUUAUGCCAAAAAAAAUAUGGGACACGAAGGAGAAAGUUUUUGUAACACGUAUCGUUUGUUAUUCAAGAAAACAGAUUAAACUUAGAAGAAACAAAAAAAAAACCAAUUACGUAAAUUCAAAACCAAUUCAAAAUUUAGGAGAAGAUGAAAACAAAUUAUAAUCUAACAUCAAAAAAGCAAAACCCCUUAAAAAAAGAGAAAGUAAAUGUUAGAGAAAUUAUUGAUAAACUAGAAAUCAAACCUGGAGACAAAUUUCACAAAUUGUGUUUCCUUUCUCAUCACACCAUCGUUGUAUGCAAUCUCUGUGAGCGAACUAAAUCCAACGAAACCAAAACAAUCAAUAUCGGUUUUCAAAAGAAUCAAACAAAAAAAUAAAUCUAGAAUUCGAUAUUUACCUUGAUGGUUCCUGAACAAGAACAAGGAGCUUCAAAGUAGCUCUCAGCUUCUUCUUCGUGACAGAUUCUACAGCGAUUAAAACUCGAUUUCAAAUAUGUUUCAUCUAUGAACAAAACUACAUCUCCCAUCGUCUCUGCCUUUGAAUUUUAGAUGACAAGAAAGCGCUCCAAGCUCUGCUUUUUGCAAAAGUAUGCUCUGUUUUUUCUUGCUCUUGACCAAAAAAAAUGCUCUGUUUUUUGUUUUUCUCUGAAGAAAGAACAAAUGAAUGAGAAGAGAAAGAGUUCAACUUUAAAAGGUAGAAUUUACAAGGUUACCCUUUAUUCUGUUCCUUUGUUCCUUAAUUUGUUUUAAUUCUCUUCGGUAAUAUAUAAUCAUUAUUUUACUAAUAAUAAUGUAAGCUGUAAUAACAAUUUCCCAACAUUGAAGCUUUGACCAAAUGUUUUUGACUUUUCUUUGUGCUGUGGUUUGAUUUGGCUGUUCAGAUAAAUACUAUAGUUGUCACUUUGAAUUUUGACUGUUUAUUACUUUUAAAAUACUUGGAUUUCGAAUUAUCUUAGUGGUUAGUUGAACAACGUAUUUAGAAACACAAAGACUGAUUUUACUUAAGAAAUUGUGAAAGCUGGAACAACGGAUAUAUACAAAAAAAAGUUUUGUAUGGUUACGAGAUCACACAGGUCAACGCAUUCGCUGUAUUUUUUUUUGUCACCUAUCUUUUGUUUAGUAUAACAUUCUAAAUAUAGUAUACGUUAUAUGUAUUUAAACAAUUAAUUAUUUUCAAAUUUUCUAAGAGAUACAAAAAUUUAUUAUAGUCAUUCACAAUGUUUAAGUAUGUAUUGUAUUUGUAUGAAAAAAAAAGAGAGUUAUGUAUUGUAUGGCGAUGCAAAACUUUUUGCACACGUUGAGAUAAAGAAGACUAAAUGCGAACACACAUAAGAAUUCUUUUAACUUUUUCCCACUCUCAAAGUACACUUGGACGCAGACAUUUGGGCUUAUCUUAUUCUGUUCUGAUCUUAUCUACUACGUUGGAGUUUUGGUUCGGCUGAUUAUUAUUAACAUCCACAAAAAUCAAAAGAAAAGAAAAAAAAACAAUAUUGAUGGUCGGCAAAAUCCUCCCAUUAUUACUAGAAAAUACGUUGACAAAAAUUAAUAAAAAAUGCUACAAAUAGAAAUAUCUUUUCGUCUGAAUUUAAAAAUUUGUAGGUUGAAGUAAACAAAGAACAAUUUUUAAAUCCCGAAGUUCGGUUACUAAUCACUAAUAUUAUACCAUUCGAUUUUGAACUACUUAUGUGUGUUGUAGAAAAAAAUAAAAGAUAAGAGAGUAUUUGAAAGAGACCAUUCCACUUGCUAAGCAAAUAUCUCCUCUCAAUGGGCCCUCUCACUCGGUCCAAAAGCUUGCAAUAGUGCGUGGGCUAACACGACGGCGCCGUUUCAUUAUUACAGGAAUCUACACACUUCUUGCCGUUUGUACAGACAAUAACUUCAGAAUCUACACGCUGCUUGCCGUUUUAAUACUUGCUUAGAAUAUCCACACAAGUUUUCUUCUUCCUCUUUGUCUCUUUUCUCUUUACUCGUCGUCUCUCGAAGCUAAAGGGUAUUGAUUCUUGUUGAGUGGUUUUCACAGGUUGAUGCUCUGGUCUACUUAGUGGAUGCUUAUGACCAGGAGAGAUUUGCAGAAUCAAAAAAGGAGCUUGAUGCACUUCUCUCAGACGAAUCCUUAGCCACUGUCCCAUUCCUCAUCUUAGGAAACAAAAUCGACAUACCUUACGCUGCAUCUGAGGACGAGCUUCGAUUCCAUCUUGGCCUCUCCAAUUUCACAACUGGUAAAGGCAAAGUGAAUCUAACUGAUUCGAAUGUGAGACCAUUGGAGGUGUUUAUGUGCAGCAUUGUUAGAAAAAUGGGAUAUGGUGAAGGCUUCAAGUGGCUCUCUCAAUACAUCAAAUAAGAUCGCCCUAUCGCUUUAAGUGUCUCUAUAGAAUCUAUAUGUCUGUUUUUCCAUAAUUUGCUUCUUCUUGGACCAGAGAAGCCUUCAUUCUUCAGGAAGCGUUUGCUGCGCGGACCGACCAGACUAGCAUCACAGUAUGGGGGAAGCGGACACAAGUUGAUGUCCCAAUAGACAAACGACUCACCCUCGUACUUCACAGCCUCCAAGUCUUUCAAUUUAGCGAGUCUUGUUGAUAAAUCUGUAGGAAGUGGAGGCCGCUCGUCUGUCCAGGGCUGAUCGCGACUCAUCAUAUCGCUCUCCAUCAGAUAAGCAGUCACAUGCAACUAUAAAAGAGAAAGUGAAGCUUGUGGUAAAGCAUGGUGGGCAAACAAAGUAAAACAUGAUUUUGGUAGCUUACUCCCCCUGGAGAGAUCAACCGGCGGACGAGGCACAGUAUUCCUAGGUAAACUCAGCUGGAACAUUAAAUGAACAUGGACAAGUCAAACAAAGGCAAAAAAAAAAAAACAGGUAGAUGUGUGAAACAAACACUUGAUUAAUUACCAUCACUUUAUAAUCUCCCGUUGAUAGAUGUGUGAUGAAAUUUUCAAAGCCGUGGGCAGGAGGAUCAAGGCAGCAUACAGAGCAAUGCCACAAGGCAGAAUCCUCUGUUUCGAGAAGAUAUCUAACCGCCGAAGGGGGAGAUGAUAAGAUGGAUUCCACUGGAAUAGAGUGCUCUCAGGGUGUCAGUAGGGACGUUCGCUAGUUUGCCAACAGCAGUGACGGUGAGAGGACCACAGUAGCCUUCAUUCUCCAAAAGCCGUUUAAUACUCGGACGGACCACACGAGGGUCACAACCAUCUGGAACCGGAGAGUUAAUGAUGUCCCAAAAGACCAAUGUUAAGCCUUAGCCUGCUUGUUCGUAGGCUUCUUCAUCGUUCAAGACGAAUCUUCUUCUAAAAACCUAACCUAACCAAACCUAGGAAAAGAGAUUGGAACACAGCCGAAAUCGUGUAUUUUCCGAUGAAGAAAUAGCGAGAGAGAUCAGGAGCAAGAAACUUACCAGAGAGAUAAGGUUGGAUCUCGCAAUCGACUAGGACGCCUAGGGUUUCCAAAGUCCUAAAUCGAAGAAAAAUUUGAAUAUCGUCCCAUUUAUAUAUAUGGGCUUCGUUUUCAUGGGCCUACAGUUUAUAUGAGUCGGCCUUGUGCAACACUGCAUUUAUCUUAAGGUUUUUUUAUGUAAAGUAAAACCGGCUAAAUCAUUAUAAAACAAAUUUUGGUUCGGUUUACAUUAACUCCCAAGCAACAAAUUCAUUAAUUAAUUCUCAACGUAAAGUGCAAAAAAAAACACAAACUCCCUACUUAAUAAUAUAAAGAUUUCUUCUGACCUUUUGAUCAACGUAACCUAUAAAACCAACAUCGUUGUGUUGUGAUGAUGAGGAAAAAAAGCUCGAAGUUUUAUAUAAUUAUAGAAUCAUGAUCUGUUUGAUCGACCAGAAAUUUGCUUGACAAAAAAUCCGAAUAUUUUUUAUUUAAAUUUUGUUCGCAUUGAACUAAAAGAAUUAAAAUCUGACUGAAUAUUUUUGAAUAAGAAAAGGAUGUCAUGACCACUGAACUAAAACGAUAUGUUUUCAAAGCCAUUCAAAAAACACCAUAAUUUAUACAUAUUCCUUCUAGUUUAAGGCUUUUGCACACAAAUUAAGAAAACAUAUAAAUCUUAUUUAAUUUAUCUUUUUUUUAUAAAAACAUCAUUAAUUACAACUAAUCCAACCAAUAAAAAAUAUGAUGUAAAAUAUAAUUUGUUAAAAACUAUUAAAUAUAUUUAAUAUUUGCAUAGAAAAGUGAAAACAACACUUCUAUUGAAAAAAAAAAAAAAACUUUUAAAAUACACUUAAUUAGAAACAGAGGGAGUAUAAUAGAACCCAUGUUAUUCUAGAAAGGGAUGAAUAUGAAAGGUAUUUCUGGCUAACAAGAAAUGUGUAUGCAUGCACUUGUUUGGUUGUUCCAUUGAUGGUGUUUGGUAUCAAUGAAAAUUGAAUAUAUAUAAAAAAUCAAUAGACAUUUGAACAUAUUAUGGGAAAUAAGAUUAUAUUUAUAUGCUAUCUUUUUUCACCUUUUCUGGUUGGUCCACUGACAUGAACAAUCUCUAGAUAAAUUUAUGUAGAAGAAACAAAAAGAAAUGACAAUUUCAUUCCUUAUCCCUCCCUCGGUCGAUGAUGCAAGUGUAAUAUGGAUAAGAAUGCCCAUUCUCUGUGUCAUCUUUUUCCUUUCGCUUUCUUUCUUUUUUAUUAGAAAAACCAAACAUAACUUUUUAUUGGAUCAUAGUGGAACUGAAUUCUGUUGAAAUGUUCAUUUCGUAUAUUUGUUGAGCUUUUUUUCUUGGUUGAAGUGAUUUAAGUACUUUUUCUGUUACAUAAAAUGAUGGGAAUUAACAAGCAAUAAAAUGAAGAUCUUAUCAGCUAAUAAUGUCAACAUCAUAUGAACAUGAUGGUGGUGGAUAAUGUUUAACGUUAUAACUGCUCCCUCCUUUUUAUCUUAAGGACCCAACCAAUGUUCAUUAUUAGCCCCUCCUUUGUUUUCAACACUUUGCUUUAUUCACAAUCAACCAAUAAUACUCUAUAAAUUUCAUUAUUGUACUCUGUUAUUCUAUUUAAAUUUCAUAAUAUAAACACUUUAUUCGCCAUAUACACCUUAUUAGUAUUACAGAAGAGGUUAAAAUAUAUAUGCAAGAUAUCUCGUGCUCAAAAGUAAUGGGUGUACACUUGUUAUCCAUAUUCUCGGAAGAAUAAUAAAAUAUUAAAUUUUCUUAAACAUACUACAUAUAAAGACAAAAUAUGUAUAUGGUUAUUAAUCUCAUAAGACAAUGAAUUUAUGCAACAUACAAAUAUUAACUAAGAGAAGUAUAGUAUUAAGUUUACAAUCCAAAAAAAAGAAAAAAAAUCCAAGAAGACAGUAAUAUAACAAUGUAUAUCCAAGAAAUUCAUUAAACGAUUUAUUAUACAGGUAAAUAUAUUUAUAAUAUUUCACACGUAGACUCUAAUAAAAAAAGGUUCCACCAAUCAAGACAAGGUAAGGACACACCGCAAGUGGACUUUUGACUCCUUUUUCCCCCUUUCUUAUUUAUUGAUUUUGUAAUUACUAAUCAGAACACUGGCACAUACAUUGUGCUCGCUAAAGUAUUUUUGGGGAAAUAUUGAUUCAGGCAAAGUAGUAGUAUUUACUUUUUCACAAUAUAUUAAAGUAGUCUAUAGUACUCGAAUAUGAGGUAGAGUGAAACAAAAAGUUUGCGAAACUCAUUGUGCUAGCUUCAUAUAUGCUCGACUUUUUGACAAAAUAAGUUCUGAUGAAUUUCAAUAUAAGGUUCAGAUGAGCCAGAGCCAACCAAUAACAGAGCCACAAACAAGACCUAGUCCUAGAAAAACAACCAUGAAGAUGGCUGCAAGUUCUGCUUCUGAUGCAUGAACCGUUUUGGGAGCCAUGAUCAUGAGCACGCUAGUGAGGUAGCCGUUGGUAAGACCUAGCAUGAACGUCAAGACAACCACUGGCACUUCUGUUCUUAACCAUUUUGGUCCACGUAGACAUGCAGAGAAAAGAGGAUAAAAGAGAAGCCUAACGAUACAAGCCCAUGUAGCCGAUUUUAUACUUUGCCAUAGAUAGAGUGCGGUGAGUGACUUGCCUACGAAAUCCGAUAUGUUGUACACAGUGAUGAGCAAAAUGGGAUACCAACUUUGGAGAAGUUGGGACUUCAAAUUCUCAGCUAUAAAUCCUGGAAAUAUCGAUAAGGUAACAGAGUAGAUUAUUAGCAUACCCGAAGCUGGCCACUUGAUUUUCCUCCCAACCAUCCAUAUUGUCAGAGUCGAAUGCAAAGGUUGAUGAAACUUGAGGUGUUGUUGCAUUACUGGUAGCUUGUGUAGCACGUUACAAGAAAUGAAGCAACAUAGGAGGAUGGUAGAGCUGACUAUGAAAUAGGAAUGAGCACUGGUUCGCAUCCCCUGCGGUGUUUGUGGCAGCGAAGCUUUAGUCGCAAUCCUAAGGAGGGAGAUGAUAAUACCUAGCAAAAACAGAGAUAACCUAAUAAGCUUUUGACAAGUUCAAUGACUCAACUCAUUGGCUUAACUAUAUAUCUAAGUAUAAGCUCAAAGUUGUGAGGAUUUCAAAUCGGAAUUGUGAAGAAACCAACACUAGCCUAUACAAAACAUGUGUCAUUCUGUUUAAUUUACAAGACUAACGUUUUACAUAAGAGGAAACUAGGUUUACCUGAAGAGGCAGUGCCGGCAAAAAUUGCUUGCAUGUACUGUCUAGGAAGCUUUCCGGCUGAACCAAUCAAACUUCCUCCAACCACUCCAUCAGCUAAACCACAGAGUACGACUGAUCCAACCAUCAACAUGUAAGAAACAUUCUCACCCUUUUCACCUUUCCAGACCCAAUCUAUAAGGGGAGAAAUCAUCAUGGCGAUGAUGAACAUGGAAAACCCCAAGUUCAUCCUCACUCUGUAGCUCAUCCUUGUGUUCCAAGUCAUCAUCAAAACCAAAACAAGAACCGAACAGCUCAUGUAAGCCACAGUGAAAGUCUUCUCUACAUGCUUGUCCGGGUACAAGUAGCCAAAGUAAUCAACGGCAGUGAUCAAAGCGUUCCAUGGUAUUAAACUACCAGCACCCAACAAGAAAUGGAUCACGUACGCAACUCUAUAAGCGUCUCUUGUCUCAACUUCAUCAACAAUCACUUUCUCAUCAACCAUUGUAACUCCCCUUUUUUCUCUCUUGAUCUCACUACUUUGCGUUCUUGAAAUCUUUCCGAUGUUGGUUUCAUUAUAAAGCAAGUGAGUGUGAUAGGGAUUUGAUUAGAUGGUUGUGAGAUUUGGUGGUAGCAAGACCAACACGAGUCACAUCUUAGCAUUAUAUAUUCGGGAUUACGAUUCUUUGAUAUGGCUCUAGAGAUCAUAGCUAGUAGUACAAAGACACACAAGACUGUAUGUUUUUUGGUGGGACACAAAACAGAUGGGUUAGGAUUAAAGUUACUACUUUAAUUUGUUCAUGAAAUUGGUCGGGACUCUUCUUUUCAGUACCCUUAUAUUCCAUUGACUACUUUCAUUUCUUCUUAUGAUCAAUGCGUUACUCAAGGGUUUUCCCACUCAAAACUUAGAACAUACAAAUUCUGUGGUGCUAAUUAAUUAAGUUACAGUCCGUGGCGUUUUGUUUUUAAUUAUAUGGUAAAAAUAAAGUUUUGGAAGUUUUAUUGCUGAUUAGGUGUUUCCCAAGGAUCGCAAUAACCAAUAAUGAGUUAUUACUUUAGUAGUAAUAAUUUCAUAAUGAACAGUUGAACACCGAAGAUAUGAGCCAAUAGAGUGUGAGAUUUGGGACACCGAAGUAACAAGAGCACAAGUUGCUGUCUGUUUCCGACACACCAUGCCCAUACUUAUACUACUAUUUCUUUUUUCAAUUACUUAUUACGUUGCCUUCUUCUUCGUGACCUCUUAGUCGCUCGAAUAAAAUUUAAUUUAUCCUUUCCUAUUCUCACGGUUUUUAUCUGCCUUUAUUCACGGUUUUGUUUUUCAAAUUGUGGUCAUCUUUUAUUAUUCAAAAUAUGUAUAAAAGGAUCAUACAAACCAUAUGCAAUGAAAACGGUAAAUCCAGACUAAACUUUUCUAAAAAAUCAAAUUAAACACUAUAUAUAUUGACUAAAACAUUAAUAUUCAACCAGAAAAAGAUUCUUACAAGGGUAAUUAAACAAAUUAAACAGUAUGUAUUGACUAAAACAUUAAUACUCAACCAGAAAAGAUUCGAUCUAUACUUGUUCUAACAUUGUAUAUAAUUGAUUAUCCGCAAAAUUUGUUCCACAUCCAUUUACUCUGCUCAAAGGAUGCAAUAGUACAAAAAAAUUACUCCUCUAUUAUAAAUAUUCGCAUAUCUACAUCUAUAUAAGAAAUGAUUCGUGCAAUUCCACUUCACCGGCCACAUGUAUGUAAGAAAAAAGAACAAAAAUAAAAUAAAGAUCGUUAAGGAAUUUAGAAUGGUGUGACAUCUCGUACAAGCCAAGUUAAUUUGUUUACCUGUCAAGUGGGAAACAAAAAGUUCUGUUAGAAAAAAAGAAAACUAAUUGCAAAACAGAUUGCUUCAGAUAUAAACCAACAUUUUUCUUUCUUACGAUGAAAACCUAACAUAAUAAAACGAAAUUCAAGUAACUAAUUAUAUGAUUAACAAAGUCGAAUUAUAAUCAAAUCUAUUUAACUGCACAUAAAAAAGUCUCUUAAGAACCAGGACCCACAUAGUGACAACUGUCUUCCAACACUUUCUAACCAUUUACAUAUCCAAAAUGGCAGGUUAGUUCACUCAUCAAAUCUCUCAACUUGUCUUCUCCUCAAAUUAAAUGUAAAUUUAAAUAUAAAACCAAUUCUUUAUAUCUAAAUAUGUUUGGUUUCGAAAUAUUCAUAUAUAUUAAAGAAAAAUGAUAUUUCCUUGAUAGAGUAAAGAAAAUUCACGAAGAGAGCUCUACUCAUUAUCUUUAUCAUACCAUUAUCAUUGCCUCUCUAUAUAAACAUAACACGCAAACUUCACUCUCACAAGUCUUUCAUCACAUUUCCAUUUUUCUCUCUUCCAUAAAACCCAAAAGAAACUAGGAAGAGGAGUAAAUAAUAUUUGUUUUAAAGAAAUGAUUCUCCACAAAAUGGCGUUCUUGGCCGUUAUUCUCUUCUUCUUGAUAAGCAGCAGCAGCGUUUGCGUUCAUAGCCGUGAAACGUUUGCUUGCGAUACAAAGGACGCAGCAACAGCUACACUGAGAUUCUGCCAGCUUUCAGUUCCUAUACCGGAGAGAGUCAGAGAUUUGAUCGGACGGUUGACAUUGGCCGAGAAAGUGAGCUUGUUAGGGAACACUGCGGCGGCGAUACCACGUCUAGGAAUCAAAGGGUACGAGUGGUGGUCGGAGGCUUUACACGGCGUUUCAAAUGUGGGACCCGGUACUAAGUUCGGUGGGGUUUACCCUGCAGCCACCAGUUUCCCUCAAGUCAUCACCACCGUUGCUUCUUUCAAUGCCUCCUUGUGGGAAUCCAUCGGACGGGUCAGAUUAUUUCUUUCUCUCUCUUUUAUCCAUUAAGUUAAAAACACCUAUUUCAAUUAUUUUUGUGUGUGCCCCCGAUCUAACUACUAAAUACUUUUCACUAUUUUCUCUGUGAAAAUGACGUAAGUAAUAAUGUUAAUUAUAUAUAUAUACAGCUCACAUUUAUUAUGUAUUUAAUUACCUCUAGUGCGAUUUAUAUGUAAAACACUUUUACUGUAUCGAAAUAUUCUCUUUUAUCGGAACUAAUAUUCGUUUUUUGUUUUUUAUUUUUAAAAUAACUUAUAUACAAUUGUGAUAUUUCGACACUUCUCAUGUUCUGAUUUUGUCCGGUACUUCAUGCAAAUAAACAUACGCACGAAUCUCUUAUUAGCCUACCGCUAUUGAAAGUAACUUUUCUUAAAUAAAACUAAUUUAUUUAAAGUAACUUACAUUCUGCUCUUGGUUUCGUUUUUAUGCCAUCUCCAAUUUACGACAAAGAUCUGAUUCUAACAAUUUUUAACUAAUUUGAAUACUUAAUGAUAUUUAUAGUUAAUCAGAUAACAUAUUAAAAAAUAACACUGCUCUAUUUUAAUAUUUAUUAAAAAGGUGAAAUGAAUAUGAACUUAUCGUACGCUUUUCGCUAAAAUCGAGGCAAGCCGCAAGUUGCAUACGAUGCUCUCAACUUGCAACAUUAGUCAUGCGCAUUUUAUCAUUAACAAUUAACCACGACUAAGUUACGCUCUUGGGGAUUCGCAGGUUGUGUCAAAUGAGGCCAGGGCCAUGUACAACGGUGGAGUUGGUGGGCUUACGUAUUGGAGCCCAAACGUUAACAUAUUGAGGGACCCACGUUGGGGACGUGGACAGGAAACUCCCGGUGAAGAUCCAGUAGUAGCCGGUAAAUACGCAGCGAGCUACGUCAGAGGGUUACAGGGAAACGACCGUAGCCGGUUAAAAGUAGCUGCUUGUUGCAAACAUUUCACAGCUUACGAUCUCGAUAACUGGAACGGCGUCGACAGAUUCCAUUUCAACGCUAAGGUUUAAUUUAAUCUUUUAUUCUUUGUCUUGCUUCAACUUCUUUCUUUGUUCUCACGUGUUUGGUUUUGAUAGGUAAGCAAGCAAGACAUAGAAGACACGUUCGACGUACCGUUCCGUAUGUGUGUUAAAGAAGGUAACGUUGCGAGCAUUAUGUGUUCGUACAAUCAAGUUAAUGGUGUUCCUACAUGUGCUGAUCCUAAUCUCCUCAAGAAGACCAUACGCAAUCAAUGGGGUCUCAACGGGUAAGAUCACGCCACGUCAGCUCAAAACAUUCCGUAUAUGUAAUUUAGAAUUUCGUUGACCGUUGAUUUUUUUUUUUUUCUGCAAACAGGUAUAUCGUGUCUGAUUGUGACUCUGUCGGUGUUUUGUACGAUACCCAACAUUACACUGGUACUCCUGAAGAAGCUGCCGCUGAUUCCAUCAAAGCUGGUAAAUAAAAUUAUUGAUUUUUAGUAGAAAAUUAAAAUUGAAUAUUUUUCCUUAAACUAACCAAUCUUGUGUGUUGAUUGUGUAGGCUUGGAUUUAGAUUGUGGGCCAUUUCUAGGAGCCCAUACAAUCGAUGCGGUGAAGAAAAACUUGUUGCGUGAGUCCGAUGUUGAUAAUGCCUUAAUCAACACGCUAACAGUCCAAAUGAGACUAGGAAUGUUUGAUGGCGAUAUAGCGGCUCAACCGUACGGACACCUUGGACCGGCACACGUGUGUACACCGGUUCACAAAGGACUAGCUCUCGAAGCAGCUCAACAAGGAAUCGUCCUACUCAAAAAUCACGGCUCGUCUCUACCUCUCUCAAGCCAACGUCACCGAACUGUCGCCGUAAUUGGACCUAAUUCAGACGCUACGGUCACAAUGAUUGGUAAUUAUGCAGGGGUUGCUUGUGGAUAUACCAGUCCGGUUCAAGGUAUUACCGGUUAUGCUCGAACCAUUCAUCAAAAGGGUUGCGUGGACGUACACUGCAUGGAUGAUAGAUUGUUCGAUGCCGCGGUUGAAGCGGCUCGUGGAGCUGAUGCGACGGUUCUUGUGAUGGGUUUGGAUCAGUCUAUUGAAGCGGAGUUCAAGGACAGAAACAGUUUGCUUUUGCCUGGGAAACAACAAGAGCUUGUCUCUAGAGUUGCUAAGGCCGCUAAAGGCCCAGUUAUCUUAGUAUUGAUGUCUGGUGGGCCUAUCGAUAUAUCUUUUGCUGAGAAGGAUCGGAAAAUUCCAGCGAUUGUUUGGGCCGGGUAUCCGGGUCAAGAAGGUGGUACCGCAAUCGCCGAUAUCUUAUUCGGCAGUGCUAAUCCCGGAGGAAAGCUUCCGAUGACUUGGUAUCCGCAAGAUUAUUUAACCAAUUUACCAAUGACAGAAAUGUCGAUGCGGCCGGUCCAUUCGAAGCGGAUCCCGGGUCGGACUUACCGGUUCUACGACGGUCCAGUUGUUUACCCGUUCGGGCAUGGUUUGAGUUACACGCGCUUUACUCACAACAUAGCCGACGCGCCAAAAGUGAUUCCUAUAGCUGUUCGUGGAAGAAACGGCACCGUUUCAGGGAAAUCAAUCCGUGUGACGCACGCUAGGUGUGAUCGUCUCUCUCUCGGAGUCCACGUGGAAGUUACUAACGUUGGCUCGAGAGAUGGGACGCACACAAUGCUUGUGUUCUCGGCUCCGCCGGGUGGAGAAUGGGCUCCGAAGAAACAGCUGGUUGCUUUUGAGAGAGUACACGUGGCGGUUGGGGAGAAGAAGCGUGUGCAGGUGAAUAUACACGUGUGUAAGUAUUUAAGUGUAGUGGACCGAGCCGGGAACCGAAGGAUUCCGAUCGGUGAUCAUGGGAUUCAUAUUGGAGAUGAGAGUCAUACGGUGUCGCUUCAAGCUUCUACUCUUGGAGUCAUCAAGUCUUGACUCUGUUUUUUUCUUUUCACUUUUCUUGUUGUUCCCAAAAUAUUUUUAAGAGAUUUUAAUGUUUCUAACGAAACGAAUUUGAAAAAGGAAAUACAAAACUAGAAGAAAAUCUGUUUCUUAUAAUUCAAAAGAUGUAUUUAAAAUUGAAUUGUAUGGCCUCGGAUUUUUUAAAAUAAAGGUUGUUUUCGGAAUUCUUUUCUUGUUCAUUAACAAUGUAAAGCACAAAUACAAAAGUAGAAGAAAAUUUUCAACUAGUUUAUGGAUGUGUAACAUAUUCUCCUCUCUUUUUUUUCUAUCUACUUCUAUAUGUUCCUCUUAUUACUAUUUUAACACCAUUCAAACCUUUAAUUUACAUGGAUCCUAUUCCUAUGUAUAUUGUACACACAUAUAAUCUACUUAGAUUUAAUUUUUGAAAAAUGUAUUAGUUGGAUCUAUGUAUUGCAGAUUCUGUGGACUACUCUACGGAAAUAUAUACACAAGUAUAUGAUAAUACAAACACUUUUGCUAAUUAUGUCUAAAGAUUGUCAUUAAUCUUCUUAGAGUAUGAUGAAAGAAAUCUAUAAAAAAUACAAAUGAGCCUUGUGUUUUUGUCAACAUACACAUGUGCAUUCAUUGAUAGACAUUUGGUAAAUCCAAAAGCAAAGUGCAUUAAUUUAAACAGAACUUUUAACAAAAACAAAAACAAGUAACGCUAGUCUACGACGGGGCAAUAAACAAAUAGUAGAAAACACGAGUCUUUUUGGCUUCGAGAGAAAGACUUUGUUUUUUCUUGCAUAAACGUUACGAUAAUUUCAAAUUGUCAAUCCUACUUUUAAGUAGAAUUUGUAAUCACUCAAUGGUCGUCAAUACAUUGUCCACAUUCGACCUAUUGAAGGAAGAUUAAUUUAGCUAUAAGCUUUCAAGGGCAAAUCCGUCAGUCUAGCUUUCUUUUAUCUACCUCUGUUAUCAAAAGCCCUCUCGUAUUUAAGAUGAUUGACUUCACAUGAUUUUCAACUCUCUAUCAUCUUUCCAGUUUCCCACCUAUCUCUCUCACCUUUAAAUUCACUGUGUAUUAAGGAAAAAAACAGAGACUUCGUCUUCUCAUUGCUUUUCCGGAGAAUUUGAGAACCAGAAAACUACUGCAAUGGCGAUUCAUCCUUGGUGGAAACGUAACAGAAAGGUAAAUACUUCAACCCAUAAAUCAAACUUUUGCUCUUAGGUUUAUCGAAAUAUAUAUCAUCUUCAAUGUGUACAAAACUGUAUCUGAUUCAGAAAGUGGACAAGUACAUGAAGAAUGCGAAGGAUUUGAUAACCAGCCAAGAUCCAAACGACAUCGUAUCAGCUCUCAGUCUCUUGAAUUCAACGCUUUCUAUCUCUCCUCACCACGAACUCGCUCUGGAACUCAAAGCCAGAUCGCUUCUCUACCUUCGUCGUUUCAAAGACGUGGCCGUUUUGCUUCACAAUUACAUUCCCAGUCUUAGAAUCGAUAACGAAGAUGUCAGCAGUGUCUUCGCCGCUUCAUCGGAGCUUUCCUCUCUCAUGCUUCUUCUUCCGAGUGGCUCACCGAGUCAUGACUCGUCGUUCAAGUGUUUCUCUUAUUCCUACUUGAAGAAGAAGGUCAUGGCAGGGUUAAGUAAUAAUUCUCAAGUACAAGGGCAAUGGAGGUAUUUCAUUCUUUUUAAUUAUGACCCGAGUUUGUGUUGACCCGACCGUAACUGAUUCGGAUCUUCCCUUCUCUGUGGCAGAUACUUGGUUUUGGGCCAAGCUUGUUACCAUCUGGGUUUAAUGGAUGACGCGAUCAUCCUACUCCAAACCGGUAAACGCCUAGCCACGGCGGAGCUCCGCCGCGAAAGCAUUUGCUGGUCCGAAGAUAGCUUCAACCUUUCCACCUCCGAAUCUCAGCCACAACCAAUCACCGAAUCCGAGAUCGUAUCGCAAAUGCUCUCCCAAACCAAGCUCUUCCUCCGACGGCGCACAGCGGCGCUCGCAGCACUUGACGCCGGUCUCUACUCCGAAUCCAUCCGCCAUUUCUCUAAGAUCAUAGACAGCCGUCGUGGUGCACCGCAGAGUUUCCUCGUCUAUUGCUUAAUUCGUCGCGCCUUCGCCUAUAAAUCCGCCGGCCGAAUCGCGGAUUCCAUCGCCGAUUGCAACUUAAUCCUAGCCCUAGAACCGUCGUGCAUAGAAGCUUUAGAAACCAGAGCUGAAUUGUUCCGAUCGAUACGGUGUUUCCCCGACUCGCUUCACGAUCUCGAACACUUGAAACUCCUCUUCAAUUCAAUUUUACGUGACCGGUCAUUAACCGGCCCGGUUUGGAAACGGCAUAAUGUCCGGUACAGAGAAAUCCCGGGAAAAUUAUGUGUAUUGACCACUAAUAUCAAACAAAUGAAGGAGAAAAUUACAAACAGAGAAAACGGCAAUGAGGAUUAUUACUCAUUGAUGGGAAUUGAACGUGGGUGCUCGAGAUCGGAGCUGAACAGGGCUUACUUGUUACUGAAUCUAAGAUAUAAAUCGGAGAGAUCAAUGACGUCUAUAGACCGGUUCGAUAUAAUCGAUGAGCAAGAAUUAGUUUCGGUUAAGAACCGAGCGAGAAUGUCAACGUUGUUACUCUAUAGAUUGAUCCAGAAGGGAUAUUACGCCGUAUUGAGUGACAUUGAAACCGUAGAAGCGGACAAAGCGGUUGCAAUCGAUAAUCGACGGAUUGAAACGCCGAUGGAUGGUAAUAAAGCGGUGGCAAUGACGGUUGUGAGGAAGAGUAACGACAAGUUAGAUGUGGUGGUUAAAGGAGUGUUUUGUAGAGAUAUGGCGGCGGUUGGGAGUUUGAUUUCCCGUGCCGGUUUAAGACAACCAAUUACGGUUUAGUUGCAUGCAUGUCAUAGCAUUUUGGAGAUUUAUCUCUCGUUUUUUAUUUUGUCGCUGAGUAAAAGAGUUAAAAUUUAUUUUUGACGUUGGAAAAUAAAACGAACCUUUUUCUCACUAUAUGUAUUAUGAGAUUUGACAUCAUAUAAAAGUGAUAGUUGACAUUUACAUUAUUAAGCUCGUUUACGACAAACCGAUUAACCGACUCAUGUAAAUAACUAAAUAUGACAAAAUCGAGACAAUGUUGCCGUCGUCAGGCGCGUAAAUGAUUUGAUUAAUCAUAUUUGUUUCUCAAACGAAGUUAGUAAAUUACCAUUACUUCAAGACCAAGUUGAAACAACCCAAGUAAAAGUCAGUAUUUUUCUUCACCUACUUUGGUGGUUAAGUCAAAGCUCUCGUAAUUAUUUUUCAUGUGGAAAAGUAAAUAUGAUGAAUAAAAAAAAAAAAAUUUGGACAAGCUUUAAUCGAAGAUACUCAAUAGUCAAAUACGAAAACUGGCAAAAGGAAGAAUCUUGUUUGAUAUCUAUUUCAGAUAUGACAUUUCAAAAGUUACAUGAAUCAUUCACAGGAAUACAACCACGUUAAUGAAGUUAACAGUUGCAAAGCCUCGAGUAAAACAUCAAAUACCCAGUUGCAUAUAAGGUCAAACCAAAUCAGAACAACCAUUGUCCGACCAUUAAUGAACUGGCAUGAUACACAACUAACCAACAAUAAAGAAUCAAAAUAUUUAAGAAAACAUACAUUAAGCUAUUGCCACGACACCAACUACAUUUCCAUUCAGAUCAUUGAGGAAAUUGUAUAAAAGCUACCAUAAAAGAGAAUGGAAAAGUUAACAAAAGAGGUUCCUAAUACGAUCAAAUUAGGGUUUCUAGAUUCCCAAAUAAAGUAAAAUGAAAAAAUCGAAAGCGAUUAGACUUGACGUUCAUAACAUGCGCGUUUGAUUAAGACCUCCAGCUAAAUAUUUGUGGUCGUAUAAUUAGCCUGCCUGUGAUUGGUGACAACGUAUCUUGUUGGAUUGGAUAAACAUCGAACUCUCCAUUGGGCCACUUUCUUGACAACUCUCCCAACUGGUUUUUUCUUUUCGUAAAACAUUAUUAAAUAAAUUAACAAAGAAACCAAAAAAAAAACAUGCGACCAGUCUAUUUAUUUGCUGUGAAGAAAUUAACAAUUUGAUGAUCCAAAAGUCAUUUCUAGGAUUAGACAGUUUUCAAAAUAAUUUCGCCAUUUGAAAAUAAUUGAAGUCAGAUUGAUAAGCUUUUUUUUUUUUUUUUGAUAAGCCUUCAAAUUACAAUAUUAAUUUCCUGAUCUGUCUUAAUAAGGUGAAUUGUAAUUUUCUUCUUCUAUGGAUUUGCAUGGUUUUUGAAAAUUUAAUAUAUGAAAUCUUAGCAAUCAGUGUUUUUUUUUUUUUUUUUUUUUUGUCACAACUCACAAGCAAUCAGUGGUUACAAAGAAGAAAUCUCAAAUAUAAUUGUGAAUUACAAUAUAUACAUGAUUGUUGACUAAUAGAGUGUAAUCAAAUUGGUUCUUCCCACUUGUUAAGACAAUACUUUUGCACAAUUUAUAAUUACAAAUAUUAAAUACUGGCCCCUUUUGUUCCUUUUUCACAACCUUUAUGCGUGAAACCAAUGUAUCUAACAUAGAAAGCCUCCAAUGGCCCCAACAAACAAUCAAACAAGAUACUAUAUGAAUAAAGAAUGAUCUAAACCGGUCAAACCAAAAUUCGGUCUGAACCGGUAUAAGCAAAUGAUCAUAACCCGCCAAAAGAAACUUUUCAACGGAAACUAAAGACGUUGAAAGCUCCAAGGAACAACAACUUAACCGGAAACAACAUAACAACGAUCAACGGCAUAUGUUGAGACGCCACAAGGCGGCUAAACCUCUGCAACGACUUUCUUCCUGUCUGCAUCAUCCCGGAGAAAUCCUGACCGUUGAUUUGGCCGUUACUGACCGCAAUCCCUGAGCUUCCACUUUCUCUAGCCACCAGAAUUGGCCACCAAAGACUCCGGCGAUGCUCCCUUUUUGCUCUCCUUAUCUGAUUCACUUCCUUUCUUAUUACACUCCUAACCGCUUUCAGAUACGAGUUCAUAUCAUGGUCUCUUUGGAUUGUUCCGCUGGACCCAUAAGCCGAUCUGUCGCUGAGAAUGUCGAGAGGAUGCGGGGUGUUCAAGAAAACCGUCUGCGCGGCUCUUAACCGCUCCUCAUCCGAAUCUUCAAUAUCCGGCGAUUCAAAAUCACUAGUUAGAAGGUAUAAACCGUUUCCGGAAGGAAGAAGUUCAUGCCCGGGGGAGAAUGUCUCAUCUGGUUGAAGAAUCAGAAGCUCGCCCAUCGGAGAAUACAACAUACUCUGCAAGGAAAAUGUCAUUAACCACAAGAAUUCUGCAGCAUAGCUAGCGAUUUAUAAGGGAUGGUAGUUGUAGUACCUGUUUGUUAAGACAAGGAUGGCUACGGAAGUUUCCAUUAACAGCUUUGAGAAGCUCAGCAACAUGGUACGGAUAGUUACAAGAAAAAGCUCUCGGAACAAUGUCACGGUGCAUAACAAUAGCUUGAACAUGGCUUUUAGGCAAUCCGAGUUUCUUAAGAAGACGGUCACCUCCACAUAGCACAAAUGGUGCACCAUAUGUUAUAACCGGAAGUAAAGAAGACGCAGGUACUUCGCCUCGAACGAGUAACAUGAGGUUUAGUAAUAGCGAUAAGCUUCCACCUAAUGAAUGACCGGUGAAACGGAAUUUAGCGCUGGUCCCAUGGGUUUUAAUAUGGGCUUUAACUUCAGGUAGCAUUUGUUCAUACAUUCCUUUUGCAGCUUCGUAUAUUCCUCUGUGUACGAUCGCACCAAGGCCCUAAUAGAUCAAAAACAGGUCUUUGUAAGUUAUAAGUUGGCACAUUUCUGUUUCCAAAAUAGUUGGGAUUGUAAAGAACAAAUACCUCAAAUUCAAUAGGCUCAAAGAGUAAAUUUGCUUGCCAAGAAGCUAGAGAUUCAGAUCCCUACAAGCAAUUUGACAUUCUCAUCAACAAACACAUAAGAUAAUGAAAAUUUAAAAAUGAACUAGCUUUUGAAGCUCUUUCCUAUUCUUACCUGAAUCACAACGAAUCUAGUGUGACUCUGAUCAUCAUCACAUAUAAACCAAUCGCAGGGAGACGAAAUCGUGGAUUUCAAAUCGUCUGCAACUGCUUGCUUCACAUCUUCCUCAGCAGCAACAACAGAAGUAACAGAAUAAGCAACAUCUGAUGAUGACUCCGCAUUAGUCAAAUUUACAUCAUGUUUGUCCGAAUUCUCGGCUUUCGAUGAAGAGUUGAAAGGAAGUAUGUUGUUGGUACGAGAGUGAAGGUAAGAAGCAGCUGAUGCAACAAUCUCAUAUGCAGCAGAAGCACUAAUCUUGCGACUUUUGUUCUUCUCUUCUUCUUCAACUUCUUCUUCUGCUUCCACAAUUGGCUUAGUCUCACCUGAAACUUCACCAUUCUCAGCUUUUAACGCCGAUUCUGUUUUCUCAGCUGAUGAAGUUACAAAUCUCAGGCCGUAAUAUUUCGACAGAUUCGCAGGCUGCAAGGAAAAUGUCACAAAUUAAUGCAACAAAAUCGAAGAUCCUGCAAAUUUUACACAUUGUAUCUUCUCAAGUUUGUGAAAACUAACACCUAGAUAUCAUAUUAAUCUCUAUAUUCGUGGUUCAAUUCAAAAAAUCUAAUGAAGUAAGAAAUAAAAAUCGAACCUUGAUUUUUGAAAUUGAAUAAGCCAAGUUUCCCAAAUACGAUAGUUGGGCAUAGAGUUUUGAUUCGGGUAACGUAACCCUCCUUAGCAAUUUGGAGAACGAUUCUCUAUCGAGUUGAAAUUUGUUUGCUUCGUUGCCAUCAUCUUCCAAAACUGAACAUACAUCGCAUCCACCAUCAUCUUCAGAUACUACGGCGUCGUCUAAUUCAACCUCCUCGUCUUCGUCUCCGUCUUCAUCUUCUACUUCAUCAUCAUCUUCUUCUUCUUCGUGUUUCCACGUAGAUUGUACAUCCAAGAUCUUCAAAACCCAGCUCCCAUUUCGCCUCUCCGUAUCCAUUUCCACCGCCGUCUCCUCCGCGAUCGGCUUUCUCGAAUCGCCGGAAUCAACCAAAACGGCGUCGUCUAAACACAAUCCACUUCGUCUCCUCGACGCAAUUCCUCCUCCACCGCCGCGAGACCAAAACGGCGUCAGUGGGUACUUAAAUGAGAACCCGAAAGGUCCUCUUUUUUGCGAUGGUGCCGACGCAGUUGCUCGGACUUCAACAACUCCACCGCAACCGCCGUUUCCAACCGCAGUGAUCGCUGGAAUUACACCGUGUAAACCGCUAUUCAAACACAAACUGUCCAUCGAAAGAAAACUUAUUUUCUGUUUUGCUUUUGGGAAUGUCUCUUUGUCUCUUUGGGGUUCUUAUUCACAAUUUAAAACUAUUAACGAUCUUAAAAUUUUGUUUAGAAUGUGAAAUUGUACCCACAGAAAGAUUUAGAAUUGAGAAUAUUUAGCAAAGAGCAAAGAAGAAAAAAUUGUUUAUCAGCCGAACAGAUCGCCGAAGAAGAAACUUCUGUGUGAGAGAGAUCUAUUUAAUGCUAUAUUUUCGUUUCCCUAUUUUAAAUAAAUAGCCAAAAAGAAGACUUUUUUUUUUUUCAUUUUUCUUUUGCUUUCCGUGAUUUUUUUUUUUUUUUUUACGAUAUUUUCCCGACGAUAAAUAGUAUAAGAAAUAAAUUAUUAAAAUGAUAAUUUCCUCAGCGAAUGUUGGAACGUCGUCGUUUAAACAUACGUGUAAUGCGUGUGACUUAUCUGUGUAACACGUGUUACCCCACGUGGGACCCACUGAGAAAUGGGUUUGUCGAGUUGGUACAGAAAAUUUGCCGACUUAUUAAAGCUAAGGAAUUUCGAAAUUCAUAUUUUUUUAGACAGAAAUACUUCAUGUUAUUUAAUUUUAAUAAUUAAUAAAGAAUUUCGAAAUUAAUAUUUUUAGACAUAAUACUUAUUUAAUUUUAAUAAUUUAAUAAAGGAAACAUUAUAAAAUAUUACGCGUAAUCUUAAAAUUUAUUUACAAAAAAUGUUAUUCAGUUUUAAUGUAUUUGCGUAUAUGACUUAAAAUGUUUUCAAGUUGUAAAAUGGAAGUUUCGAAGAAUGUCCACGUGGGGACGACAAGGAAGAGGACUGCCACGUCAGAGUCGUAGCAAGGUGUAAAUGGAUAUAGGUGGACAACCCAUGUGACGUGUUCCAAGAUUUUGGGCUCUAUCCAAUUGGACACGUGGCGUAAUCGGGAUGCUCACGCGCCUUGUCUUCUACUGUUGUAGUGUUGUGUGAUUGCAUGUCAUGUUGGUUGCUUCUUCGUGAGCUUAAAUCCAAAAAUGAAAUCUACAGCUUCUUGCACGAAACUAACAGCUAUUAACUCUUUCUUCUUCUUUUUCUCCUUCUGAUCAACAACGUAAUUAUCAUGAUACAUUUCAAAUUAUAUAUGUGAAAACAAUCUAUAGCUUUAACGGAGAUAUAUGUUUUCUGUUAAGAACAUAAUUAUUACGGUAAAUACAGAAUCUUGAGUUUUGUGGGUGUAAGGUCUCGUGCUUAAUAAGCUUAACUAAAUUGUAUAUAUGAUGUGUGGAAGCUGAUCUAAGAUUAUGAAUAUUAUUGUCUUACAAGAUGGCUGGUUUAAGAUCAGUCCAUGUUGGAUCUGAGACCAAAGUCGUCUCAAAGAACGAAUGUGCACACGUUACGUUGUGGACGGGGACGGCCCAAGGAGGUCAACACGUUACGAUAGCUUUACUCACACGCUAAGGUCGAGAUUGAUUCUCUGUUCUCGAUCCUCAGUUACGAAUUUGUUUACAUUGUCAUAUGUUUUUAUUCGUUAAUUCUCUGAUGUGGAAAUACCGGUGCUUCUCUAAAAGAGAUUUCGGUUCGGUUAUCGAUUAUUUCAGAAAUGUUUUAAAAAACCGAAAUAAACCAAAAAUGUGUUGGUUUUUUAGCCCGUAAAAAAAAAAAACUUCACCCCAGCACGAAGAAAUCGACACGUGUGAUUUGGUGCUUCCCGCCAUUCUGGAAAGAUUGCACAGCAAAAUCAGUCUCUCGUAUAAGAACAAGAUAGUGAAGAGAAAUAAAAAAAGCGGAAGAUCAAUAAAACCUAACUCACUCUGAGAUUUUUGAGAUUUGGGCGUCGCGAUGGAGCCACACUCUCACCACAAGAAUGCGAUUCUUCCGUCUAGUAGCCAAGGUAAUCUUCUUCACAAUCCUUUGACAUUUCUCCGUGUUGAUCUUUCUUGGGUUUCGUUCUUAAUCUUCGGGUUGCCGGAAAAGUGAAUUAGGGUUUCUAUUUCUGGGCUCAAUUGAUCUGUUGGGGAUCGAUAAUUUCUCUCCAAUUUUUGUUUUCCCAGAAUGCAAUUCUUGUGGGAAACUGUAAUUUAUCUCAUGUUUCCUUACCAAAAUUAUUCGUUGGUUUGUUUGAAAUAGACGAGAAUCUCAAAGAAGAAGAAGUUCCUGAUGAUGAUGAUUCAGUCGGCGGUGAAGUUCAAGGUACCGCAUCGUUUCUAUUAGGCGUCAUUGAUGCUCGAUUUGCUCACACCUGUUUAUUUUCAUCAUGUCUUGCUCACACAGGUGAGGUCAAUGCUAAUGACUAUAUACCAAAUCCUGCCGCUCCUGCAAACACUAAAAGAAAAUGGCAGAUCAUGAAAGAAAAGGUUCAGAUGACAGAGGAUGAUGAUUUUGAUGAGCAGAAUGCAGUCAUUGCUGAAGCUGCUGAGCAGCCUCUAGAUUUGAUUAUACCGCUACUAAAGUACCAAAAGGAGUUUUUGGCUUGGGCUACAAUACAGGAACUAUCAGCCGUAAGAGGAGGCAUUCUCGCUGAUGAGAUGGGAAUGGGGAAAACAAUACAAGCCAUCUCUCUCGUUCUUGCCAGACGGGAAGUUGACAGAGCCAAAUCUAGGGAAGCAGUUGGGCACACCCUUGUGCUUGUUCCUCCUGUUGCUCUUUCUCAGUGGUUAGAUGAGAUUUCUCGGUUGACAUCCCCGGGAAGCACCAGGGUUCUUCAAUACCAUGGGCCGAAGAGAGACAAGAAUGUUCAAAAGUUAAUGAAUUACGACUUUGUUUUGACAACAUCUCCCAUAGUUGAGAAUGAAUAUAGGAAGGAUGAAGGAGUGGACGAAACAAUGUCUCCUUUACACUCUAUUAAGUGGAAUCGUAUCAUCGUCGAUGAGGUCAGUACCAAGACCUGCUGGUUCUUCUUCUUUUCCAUUUUCAAGCAUGUAAGGAAAGGGGACUGUGAGAUUUAUUGUACAGUAAACCACAGCAGGGGAAGCUCACUGCAAAUUUGCUUUUUGUGAAUCUUUUAUCCUUCAGGGGAAGCUCACUGCAAAUUUGAUAUAAUUCCCGUUUGUCUUCAUAUCAGGCUCAUGAUAUCAAAAACAGAAGUAGUCGCACUGCCAAAGCUGUUUUUGCUUUGGAGGCGACCUACAGAUGGGCUCUGAGUGGUACCCCUCUCCAGAAUGAUGUUGACGAGCUCUACUCCCUGGUUAGUUACUCUUUCCUCAACUUUUUCUAUAGCACGUAAUGAUAUCUCAACAUUGCUGAUUGUUUGUCCCAGAUACGCUUCCUUCGCGUUUCGCCAUACUCAUAUUACUUUUGCAAGAAAUGUGACUGUGAAGUUCUUGAUCGGAGGUAACAUCUUACCACUCUCAAUUCCUGGUUACUUUCUCCUUUCCCAUACUUCUGUUUGAUAGUUCAUAACAAUCUUUGCUGUUUCAUUUCCUUUGUCCAUUGCCUUUGGGCUUUGGCGGUGACUGCAGUGCGCAUCGAAAAUGUCCCAGCUGUCCUCAUAAUGCAAAUCAACACAUCUCUUGGUGGAAAGAGGUAACUUUGAGGUGCCAUUAUUAAAAACAUUUUAAAAGCAGGAUCACCAUUAUGUUCUUUGGUUUUUAUAUUUUCCAAUCUUGCUAGAAUGUGGACAAACGGAGAAACAGAGCCUGUAUAUUCCUUAAACAAAAUGUUCUAAAGGACAUUCUACUAAGACGUACUAAAUUGGGCCGGGCAGCUGACCUUGCUCUUCCUUCUAGAAUCGUAUGUUCCUUUCUCUCCCUUGUCUGAUAUAAAUGAAGCUUGGUAUAGUUGCUUCCGAGCUUGAUCUCUACAUAUAAAUUUAGAUCUCUCUGAGGCGAGAUGCACUAAGUGUAGUAGAAGCUGAUUUCUAUGAAUCACUAUACAAAGUUAGCAAGACAACAUUUGAUGGGUAAGUUACUUUUGUUCUAUGGAUUUUCACUGGUUUCUGCUCCAUGCUUUGUGUAAACUGAAUUUUAUUAUUAAAUCUGACAUGUACAUUUGUUUCUGCAGGUAUAUUCAGGCUGGGACAUUGAUGAAUAACUAUGCACAUAUAUUUGGUCUUCUUAUCCGACUGAGACAAGUGAGUGGUAUCGAUAGUUUUGUUGUUCUAUUUACAAGCCAGUGCAUGUUUUGGAUGAUAUAGGUAUAUAGAUUUCUGAUGCAUUUUCUUGCAAUUUUUUCAGGCUGUUGAUCAUCCAUACCUGGUGAGUUAUUCUAGUCCUAGUGGCGCUAACGCUAACUUGCUUGAUGCGAACAAAAAUGAGAAAGAAUGUGGUUUCGGCCAUGACCCUUCCAAGGACUACUUUGUAAGUGUUCCAGUCGAUAUAUUGUUGCUAUUUCAUACUAUCUCGACUCUUGUUUCUCAGUAACUGUAUCUUCUGGAAAUAGCUGCCACCAUUUUACACUUUCUUAAAGAAUCAUCGGAUGACUAAUGUUGGACUUAACUUGUUCGGUUAAUAUGUCUUUGGUUCUCUUACUUUGAAGGUGACUUCUAGUGAACAUCAGGCAAGCAAGACAAAGCUUAAAGGAUUUAGAGCCUCUAGCAUUUUAAAUCGGAUAAACCUCGAUGAUUUUAAAACAAGUACAAAGAUUGAGGCUUUGGUAUGUGCCCUUUGAGAUCUACAGCUUCUGUCUCUCCCACGCUUAAAGUUUCUUUGGAGAUUGGAGGCUUUAUCUAACCAUUUGGUGAUAAAAAAAAUUUGUAUGCAGAGAGAAGAAAUCAGGUUCAUGGUUGAAAGAGAUUGGUCUGCCAAAGCAAUAGUAUUCAGCCAGUUCACAUCAUUCUUGGACCUGAUAAGUUACGCCUUGGGGAAGGUAAUUUCAAGCGCAACCAACUACAAAAUGCUACUACUACUAUAUCUGUGCUCCUUUAACAUUCUCUUUAAUCAUAAUGAGACAUUGAAUAAAAAUGAUUGACUCAUUUUGUACAACGCAGUCUGGGGUUAGCUGUGUUCAACUGGUGGGAAGCAUGUCCAAGGCAGCUAAAGAUGCUGCACUCAAAAAUUUUAAAGAAGAGCCAGAUUGCAGAGUUUUAUUAAUGAGCUUGCAAGCUGGAGGGGUUGCUCUAAAUCUAACAGCCGCUUCGCAUGUAAGAAGUGUACAACUUAUAAAACAGUUGCUCCUAGAACAUGUUUUAUUCACUGACAUUCGGGUGUUUGAUUGUAUAGGUGUUCAUGAUGGACCCGUGGUGGAACCCAGCGGUUGAGAGGCAAGCACAGGACAGAAUACAUAGGAUCGGACAGUGCAAGCCUGUCAGGUUAUAUUUUUGAGUUGUCCUUCAAUAUACUGUAUGUUGUUUUGGUGGGGGAAGAAAGAAGAAACAUUUGGUUGUGUGACAGGGUUGUAAGAUUCAUAAUGGAGAAAACAGUAGAGGAAAAGAUACUAACGCUUCAAAAGAAGAAGGAAGAUUUGUUUGAAAGGUUUCUUAUUUUAAACGAUACGCUUCUCUCAACUUUGCUGGUUUCUUAUUGUCAACUGUAUGAAGCCUAUAUGAAGACAUAUUUGCUUUGUUACAGUACGUUAGGUGACUCUGAAGAGGCCGUUGUACAAAAGCUGGGAGAAGACGAUAUCAAGUCCCUGUUCGCAUAACCAAAUCUUGUAGAUGAAGAACAUGAUAGAAAAUUUGUAUAGAUAGAAAAAAGAGUCUUGACAGGACAAAAUUAGGCUCAAGCUAAAAGAUUUGAUACAUACUUGUGUAAUAUGAUGAGCACCGGAUAGAUUGUAUAUGAAUCGGAUCACAAACUUUUCCUUCUCCCGAAGAAUAUUGAGCAUGAGGCCAUGGCCGGUUUGAGCCAUACCGUGAGAACUUAGUUACAAUGUCGGUCGACUAGUGUACGGGUUUCUGGUUUAGAUUAUGGGCUGGUUUAAUAUAAAUGGGCCUAUUUAUUAAGCCCAAUUACUUCGUAUGUAAUGCAAUGUGCUUCUUCUACGAGAGAGAGAGAGAUCAGUGAACAAGUCCCCGUUUCUUCGUUCUCAUCAUCUUCAUCGCCGAUUUUGCAACGACCACCUCUGCUACUCCCGUCGAUCAAUCUACGGUGAGCUCUCUGCUCUCACUAUUCCCUUUUCAAUUUUCAUUCCUUUUCCAUGACGACAAAUAUUUGGAUAAAGAACCUUAUUCGAUUUAACUCCGUUGGUUGUUGUACUGUACCGGAAUACAACUUUCCGGUAGCUCUCUGGUUUUGAUUGCGGUAGAAAUCUAGAAUAUAGGCUCGGAAUUUCAUUUUCUAGUUGAGAUUACACUGUUUUUUCUUUUUUGAAAAUUUUCACCUAGGGUUAGUAUUUGACUCAAUUGGAUUUUGUCGGUAGAGGAAUUUCACUUAUUUUUCUAUUAUUUUGCUCUCCUGGAUUUUGAUUAUCAGAAGAAGAAGAAGAGAUGAGUAACACACCAGCAGCGGCGGCGUCAUCAUCGUCUAAAUCGAAAGCUGCGGGAACUUCUCAGCCACAGGAAAAGCGCAAAACUCUCUUUCAAAAAGAAUGUAAAGUCUUUAGUUAAAACCAGAUUUUUGUAUUCUUCAUUUUGUGAUUCUUCUGGUAACAAUGGUUUUGGUGCUUUUGUUGAUUUUUCAGUGCAGCAUAUGAUGUAUGGAUUUGGCGACGAGCAAAACGUAAGCCGCUAUCCUCUUCAUUACUAUUUUGUUGCCAUAUGAACCGUAUUUGUAGAUAUAGUUUCAUUCCAAUACAAGUAACGAAUUAGGUAGAGAAUCUUUGCUUUAAAGGGUUCUUGGUCGUGUAACAUCUUUUAGUGUUUUACCACCUGAAACUGAUCCAAAACUCCUCUGUAUUUAGCCUCUUCCAGAGUCUGUGGCGCUUGUAGAAGACAUUGUUGUGGAAUACGUCACAGAUUUGGUAGUGAGCUUUUUCUUUUUGUGAAUGAUUCAUGUUUUACAUUACAAGCGGAGAGAUAUUAGCUAACAAGUGAUGUUUCAAUGGCAGACACAUAAAGCUCAAGAAAUUGGUUCAAAGCGAGGAAGACUUCUAGUUGAUGAUUUCUUGUAUCUUAUCCGCAAGGUAAAAAUUCUUUUUAAAAAGUACACAAUCGAUGAUUGAGAUGGUUUAUGGUUUUGUAUUCUAUAUCCGAAACUUUGGCGUCUUUGAUUUAUGCAGGAUUUGCCAAAACUGAACCGCUGUAGAGAACUGUUGGCGAUGCAGGAAGAGCUGAAACAAGCACGCAAAGCUUUUGAUGUCGACGAAAAGGAACUCGUUGAUUGAUCUUGCUUUUCCUCAACGGGAGGAACAAAUGCUAGGUAAGAGGAACCUCAUGGAUGCCGGACUAGGGACAGCGUUUUAGGUUGUAAUCAGAAUUCGAAGCACAGUAGCAAAAAAAAAGUGUGUUGACUUAAAAAAGGUGAAAAAAAAUCUUGCACAAGGCCGACUCAUAUUAAAUGUAGGCCCAUUAGAAGAAAGCCCAUUAUCUAGCAUCCCGUAUAUAUCUACGGACGACCUUUAAUUUUUCUUGAGUCAGGAAUUUCGAAACCCUAAAAAUUUAGAAUAACCACCCGAUUUUUGUUUCUUUCAUUAAAUUAAUUACCGCAAUAAUUAUAAAAUUAGUCAUCAUUAUAAGACUUUUGUUUUUCUCUAAAUUUUUCGUCAUCUUUCUGAUAUUUUGAUUCAUUAUUUUACCAUGGAAACAAUAAAUAAGAAUGGUGAUCAAUUACCAACUAAAGAAAAUCAUUGUGAUCAAUUAGAGAUAGAGCAAAUAAACAACACGAGCAUGAAGAAGAAAAAGUCAUCACGUGGGAUGCACAUGUUCUCCGUCGUCAUGUUCAUGCUUCGUCGCCGCCGGGGAGAAAACCCUUCAACACCAGGUUCUGGCGGCGAGUCGUUAAGUCCGUACGUAAACUCCGUUUCGAAAUUACGAUAAUGCCAUCGUCAACUUUUACUAACACAAUUGUUCUCCCUCCGGCUCCUCCUCCUCUGCCAGCGACAGAAAUGGGAGGAGACGAUGGUGAUAAUGAUAAUGAAGAUGAUGAUGAUUCCGAGGGUCGUUUAUCAGAGACUAUGGAGGUUUUCACGGCGGCUUCAUCUUCAUCAUCAUCAGGAAUCUCGGGAUAUGGAUCAGCCAUGUCCUUAUAUGAUGAUGAUAUUGAUGAGGAAGAAGAUGAAUGUUAUAGUGAUGUGGAAGGAGGAGACGAUAUGAUUGAUGAGAAAGCUGAGGUUCUAUGCAAUAAUGAAGAUGCAAAAUCAGGUUUACACUGAUCGUUGCAAAGCCAAAGGGAUAUAUAGUGAUGCAUUAAUGAUCUUAUUAAUUAUGGUUCGUAUCAUCUAUCAAGUUUACGUCAUCAUCAUUCAGGUUUUAAUUUCUUGGUCAUUUUUGGUUUUUGUAUUAUAAUUUAAUUUAAUUCCUUUUAACUUUUUCUUCAUUUUUGUUUCUGUAAUUAGUGAGUGUAUUUGAAUUCAUUAAUGAGAAAAUAGGAGAAUGAAGUAUAUCUACUAAAUUCUAUUUGUGUUUGUGGGGAAUGUUAAAUUUGGUUUGCAGAUUAAAGAUCUCGUUAAAUAUUUUAUGUUCAAUGUUUUCAAUCGGAAAUUGGUCAUAUUAAUAGCACAUUUGACCAAUUCAUUGAAUCGAGUUCUUUUCGAAAAUUGAAGACUUUGAUAAUACCAACCGUUUAUAUUAUGCAUGGACAUAUGCGUAAGUGAAAAAUCAUACUGAGCGAUGGUAACAAUUACACAGUUGAUUCCAUUUCGUGAAAAACUCAUAGAAACAACGGUGACAAAUGAAGUUUCCAUAGCCAAGAAUUGGAUCCUCGCCAUACGAUUAACCUACCGAGAUGAACCAACGGUGAUCAUCUCUCUAAACUCCAAGACCAAUCCUCAAGAUGAUGCAAAAAUCUCGACUCUUCAACUAUGCAUCAAAACCAAAUGCCUCAUACUCCAACUACUUCAUAUGAAACAAAAUACCAAUCUCGGCGAAUGCCUUAGUGAUCUAUUUCGUGAUGAGAGGUUUGUUUUUGUAGGAAUAGGUAUUGCUAAAACUGUCGCUAAGCUCGGUGGGCUAGUUAGAGUAGUGGUUAAGAAAGUUGACGUUCGUGAUCUGGUAAAGGUAAAUUUUCCAUUUAGUUAUGGUGAGAGGUCAAGGGUUAGCUUGAAGGGUAUGGCUUGUGAGUUGUUGGGAUUUGGUUCGUGGAAACCGAAGAGGGAGAUUUGUCCGAGAGACUUGGCUAAUGAAGUUCUUGAUGUAGAGGUGGUUAAGUUCUUGUCCGUUGAUGCUUAUGUUUGUCAUGAAAUAGCGUUUAAGAUGCUUAAAUACCAGGCCCAAUUUAUUGUAAUCAGAUUCAUAAAACAUUACUUUACUGAGCAAACGUUGGGCCGAUAUUGGGCUAAUUUAUAUAAUAAAGCCUCUUUAUUAAAGUCAAAAGACAGGUCAGCAUUAGUAAUCACUAUAUUACUAAAAUCGCGCUAUACCUUUUGUAGACGUUGCGAUUUCAAAUUCAAAAGUUGUGGCAAUAUCGUGAUUAAUACUAAAGCCUAAGCCCAAUAUCGUCUUUUACCCGUAGCCUCCUCGAAUCCCGACGUCACGUUGUAUAAAUUAUAUCGCAUCACUCCAAAACCCUGAUUCUCCUGCUCCUUCGUCUUCUUCAUCUUCCUCUGAGAAAUCAAAAACUCGAUCGAUCAAUUCGUUGUUCGUCUACAUCGAUUCCUUCAGAACCUAGUGAUCCUCUGUUUUGGUUGAUUCGAUUAAGCUAACCAUGUCUUACAAACCAAGCGCGAAGACUGAGGUUCGCCGGAACAGGUAUAAAGUAUCUGUGGACGCCGAUGAAGGUCGCCGGAGACGGGAGGAUAACAUGGUGGAGAUCCGGAAGAACAAGAGAGAGGAGAACUUGCAGAAGAAGCGGCGUGAAGGUUUUAAUCCUUCCAUGGCGUCACAGCCAGGGCAGGAUUUCUCCUCGUCUCUCCCUACGGAAACGAGAGUACGUUCUUCGUGUUCUAUAUCUAAUUGAUUGUGUUUCUCUCGUUUAUGUUUGGUACCGAAUUUAGAUUGAGAACUAGUUAGGGUAUCUCGGUGAAUUAGAAUGAAAUUGAAAGCUUCUGAUCUAGUUACCUAGAUAAAUAAUUGGAUCAGGAGUACUGAAUUUUGGGGUUUACUGAACCCUAAUUUCAGAAUCUGCAUUGCUUGAGGUUAGAUAAUAAGUUGCCCUGAUUCAAUUGCAGUUGGAGAAUAUACAACAGAUGAUUGCUGGAGUAAUGUCAGAGGAUAGAGACUUACAAUUGGAGGCGACGGCUAGCUUCAGGAGAUUGCUUUCAAUUGGUACGUGAUUUAUAAAUCUCUUAACAUGGCGUUUAGGGUUUGAUUGUUUUGUGGGUUUUAGUUUUUGCUUAUUGUGGUUGGUUGAAUUUUUUGUAGAGCGAAAUCCUCCAAUCAAUGAAGUUGUUCAAUCUGGUGUUGUUCCUCACAUUGUGCAAUUUCUUUCCAGGGAUGACUUCACUCAACUUCAGGUGAGCUUGCCUUUCUUAUAUCUAAGUGUAGCUUGGUGCUUUGAUUCAUAUGCUGAUGGCUUUUGCUGUUUGCUUUGCUUGUAUAACUAUAGUUUGAGGCAGCUUGGGCGCUUACCAAUAUCGCUUCAGGGACAUCUGAGAACACUAGGGUCAUUAUUGAUAGUGGUGCUGUCCCUUUAUUCGUCAAACUUCUUAGUUCUGCAAGUGAGGAAGUUCGAGAACAGGUAUCAAUUUAGAUUCAAUAUCAAUUUUCUUUCUAUUGUUCUGGCAAAGAAACUCUUAGAUCAAAUUGCUGAUGACUCGAUUCCGACUGUUUUAACAUCCUGAUUUCUAUGUUUUUUUCCCCUGAUUAUAGGCUGUAUGGGCAUUGGGAAACGUUGCUGGUGACUCGCCAAAAUGUCGUGAUCAUGUCCUAAGUUGUGAGGCUAUGAUGUCUCUUCUGGCUCAAUUCCAUGAGCAUUCAAAGCUCUCCAUGCUGAGGAAUGCUACAUGGACAUUAUCAAAUUUCUGCAGAGGGAAGCCGCAGCCUGCAUUUGAACAGGUUUCCUUGCAUAUAAGAUAUAUAAACCAAUUUGAAGUGUUUUUUCUCAACUGUUUAUUAAUAUGAGAAUGUGUCAUUGCAUUUGUUGAGCAGACAAAAGCAGCUUUACCAGCUCUUGAGCGCCUUCUGCAUUCAACCGACGAAGAAGUUCUCACAGAUGCAUCCUGGGCUCUCUCAUAUCUCUCUGAUGGUACAAACGAGAAAAUACAAACUGUUAUCGACGCUGGUGUCAUCCCUCGCCUUGUUCAGCUCUUGGCGUAAGUAAUUUUCUUUUAGCUACCAAUUCUAUAUCAUUCACAUAUAUCUUGACCUGAUCUCGUUAUCUGUGUCUUCUUAGUCAUCCAUCGCCCUCAGUUCUGAUUCCAGCUCUCCGUACAAUUGGUAACAUUGUAACCGGAGAUGAUAUUCAGACUCAGGUAGUCUAUUAUCCGUAACUGUCUGCCUUUUAUAUCUCCUAUAGUUUUGAUGUUUACUUAAGUAAAUCAUCUCUGUUUUCUCCAUAACAGGCGGUUAUUAGCAGUCAAGCGCUUCCUGGUCUGUUAAACCUUUUGAAGAACACAUACAAGAAGAGUAUCAAGAAGGAAGCUUGCUGGACUAUCUCUAACAUUACAGCUGGGAACACAAGUCAAAUUCAAGUGAGUUAUAUACAUUAUUAACAAAUAACAAUGUUCAAAAACCAAUAUCUUUUCUUAUAAUUUAAAACCAGAAGUCGUAUAUACAUUUGGAUUUAACAUCGAUAAAUUUGUUGUGCAGGAAGUGUUUCAGGCAGGCAUUAUUCGGCCUCUGAUUAACCUGCUUGAGAUCGGUGAAUUCGAAAUUAAGAAAGAAGCUGUUUGGGCAAUCUCUAAUGCAACUUCUGGUGGCAAUCAUGACCAAAUCAAGUACAACAAAUCUCAUUGUUUCUGUCUCUUUUUAGUUUUUUUUUCAGUGAUUCUUGUUAUAGAACCUCUUAUAUCCUUGCAGGUUUCUCGUGAGCCAAGGCUGCAUCAGACCCCUGUGUGAUCUCCUACCGUGUCCCGAUCCAAGGGUUGUCACAGUGACUUUGGAAGGUCUAGAAAACAUUCUCAAAGUAGGUGAAGCCGAGAAGAAUCUAGGCAACACAGGAAACGAUAAUCUGUACGCGCAGAUGAUUGAAGACGCAGAUGGUUUGGACAAGAUUGAGAAUCUUCAGAGUCACGAUAAUAAUGAGAUUUAUGAGAAAGCAGUCAAAAUCCUGGAGUCGUAUUGGGCUGCAGAUGACGAGGAGGAAGAUAUUGGCGGUGUGGAUGCUCCUGAGAAUGUUCAGUCUUCCGGUUUCCAAUUCGGAAACCAAAGUGGUAAUGCUCCUACGGGUGGAUUCAACUUUGGUUGAAGGUUUCUGUAGUAUUCUCUCAGUUGCUUGAACUUAAGAACAAAGGUCGCUCGUUGUCUUUUCUAAAAACAGUUUAGGUUUUUUUUUCUCUUUUUUGGGUCAUGUUUUGAGUGAAUUUUGUAUUUUUAGAAGUUUGGAUAUUUUGUUCUCUCGCGUUUAAGGCGGAAAUUAAAGUGUUUCACUAUCUGCUCUGCUAUGUGCUUUUUAAGCUCUCCUGCUAAAAACAAUUAUGAAAUAAAUGCGAUAAAAAUGACUUCUUAAAGCUUCAAAAUUUAUGCAGAAUCAACAUCUACAUGUCUUAUUUACGCAAAAAUCAGUUUAAUGUUAAUGCGUGACAAAAUAAGAAGGAAAAUAGACAAUCAAAGUCGCGAAUUAAAUUGCAAAUAUUUAGUUAGGUAAUGCGUUAUAAUGCAAUUUUAAUACGAUCACAAUAACUAUAUACUAUUUAUUUUUUAAUGAUCAAUUUAUUUUUUAAAGUUAGUAUACAUAAAAGUUUGCAAAUUGUAUUUAUCUAUAAAAUAUUUUUAUUUUAUAGUUUAUAAUUGUUAUUAAGUAACGUCCUGCCAAACUCGUCCCGCCAACUCGUCCCAUAAAAAAAACAUUUAUUUUAUUAAUGUUAAUCUUAUUUCUGAUAUGUUUAUGAAUUAUUGUCUAAUUAUUUUGUAAUUUUGUAGUAAUUAUAUGCUAUCAAAUAUCUCUGCAGUUUGAUGAUUAUAACUGAAUUGUUAUAGUCAUGGAGAAAAGCAAUAUCAAAAAUGAUAAUUUUGUAGUAAUUAAAUGAUAUUAAUAUUUUGGAAGGUUUAUUUUAGUAACUAAUCGUGUAGUUAAUGUGGAGAGAUUUAGAGAAGAUUGUUAAAUAUUAAAUAUUUAAUUUAAAGAUUUUUUUUUAAUGAUCAAAAACAAACAAUAAAAUUUAAUGGCAGCCAUUGUAAAUAAAUCUCAAUUCUAUUAAUUUAUUUUGCAAAAUAAUCGUAAAAAUGUAUAUAUAGAUUAAUCCGUGACAAAUAAUAAAUAGUCUGUUUUUAUGUUUUUGACAGCAAAAUCUUAUUUGAGGCUCUGUUGAAUUUUAUUUACCAAGAAGGUAAUGCAAUUAGCAUAUUUUUCUUUCUAAAGAAAAGAAAAUAAUAAAAAUUAAGACAGACAAAUCUGGAGACACCGAUCGAGCAGCUUCUAACUUUUUCUAGUCAUUCUAAAUCCGCCACGUCAUUAACAACGAGGCAUGCCAUCAACACGUGUCGACACGAGUCUCUCUAAAAAUGGCUACUACAAAGUACAAACUUUCUUUAAUCAGCGAGGAAACGCAGAAAACAAAAAUUGUGUAGAAAGCUAGAUGAUGAUGCAAUCCCGAUUAUUAGCGUUUGCUUCAGCGGCGCGUUCACGUGUUCGACCAAUCGCUCAAAGGCGUUUAGCGUUUGGAUCAUCCACGUCUGGUCGCACAGCUGAUCCAGAGAUCCAUGCCGGUAACGAUGGAGCCGAUCCAGCUAUCUAUCCGAGAGACCCUGAAGUAAUAAUUGUUUCUUUUCUCUUGUUUUCAAUUUUAGACCAUGUUGAAAAUAAAGAAAAAUGUUCUAAAAUACACAAAGAAAUCAACUUUGUUUAAGUUUUUGGUGAUUGCUUGUGUUUCAGGGUAUGGAUGAUGUUGCAAACCCUAAAACGGCGGCGGAAGAAAUCGUAGACGAUACUCCCCGACCGAGUUUAGAAGAGCAACCGCUUGUACCGCCGAAAUCUCCACGCGCCACUGCGCACAAGCUAGAGAGUACUCCCGUUGGUCACCCGUCAGAACCUCAUUUCCAACAGAAACGAAAAAACUCCACCGCUUCUCCGCCGUCGCUUGAUUCCGUGAGCUGUGCUGGUUUAGACGGUUCACCAUGGCCGAGAGACGAAGGAGAAGUGGAAGAGCAAAGGCGAAGAGAAGAUGAAACAGAGAGUGACCAAGAGUUUUACAAACACCACAAAGCUUCUCCGUUAUCGGAGAUUGAAUUCGCCGAUACUCGGAAACCUAUUACGCAAGCUACCGAUGGAACUGCCUACCCAGCCGGGAAAGAUGUGAUCGGAUGGUUACCGGAGCAGCUAGACACGGCGGAAGAAUCUUUGAUGAAAGCAACAAUGAUAUUCAAACGCAACGCAGAACGUGGCGAUCCUGAAACGUUUCCUCAUUCUAGAAUCUUAAGAGAAAUGAGAGGCGAGUGGUUUUAAACUAAAGACCACAAUAAAAUGUUAAGAAGUGUCUGAAUAAACUUUUGUCAAUUAGCUUCAUUGAGACAUUUUGGUUCCUUACGAAAGUGAACAAAGCCUCUUUAUGUCCCAAAUCUCUAGAAACCCUAAAAUCAAAAGAAUUUGUUCGUACAUUAUGGAUUACAGUUAUGGUAUGGUCCAAAAAAGGGUUUUGUUCUUGAAUCAAAGCUGUAAAAUUUAAAUGGUAUCAGAUUCCAAAGUUAUUGCUUUUGAAGGUUCUUAAAAAAGUCAAGUUCUUUAAAAACCAUAGACUUUCUUCUUCAUUCUUGAACCAUUUGAUAGAUGGCAAAUUUUUCUCUCUUCCUCUUAAAAAUGGAGUUGUUUCUCUGUUUCGUCACUCUGUUUUUACUAUCACAAUCUGUUGUUGCAUUGAGUAUAACAGAGAAACAAGAGAUUGAAUGUGCAAUGUGUUUAGAGUGUGAGAAUCCAUGUGAUCAGCCACCUCCUCCGUCGCCUUCCCCUCCGCCUCCUCCGCCACCACUAGAACUCCUUUGUCCUCCACCGCUACCACCGCCUCCACCCCCCUUAGAGAUUUUCUGUCCGCCACCGCCUUCUCCACCACCUCCUUCUCCUCCUCCUCCUUCACCACCACCACCAUGUAACCACUGCCCCUUGCCGCUUCCACCGCCGUUGCCGCCGGCUUGCAAUGAAUGUGUUCCGAAUAAGCCGAGACCACCGAUCAUUAUCACAGCCGCAGAAGCUUCCCCGACGAUUUCUGCUUCCAUCAGUUUAGUUAUUGCUCUCGUCUUUCUAGUGUCCUCUCUGUUUCAAUAAUGUUGUAGCGAUUGAUCUUCAGCUAUUUGUUGUCUCUCCGUUAUUAUUCUUACAUUCAUAAAGAAAUUCAAUUUCUGGUUCUAGGAAAUUAUAUAUGUUUACUCUUCUGUAACCCAUUGAUCUCUCCUUCAGUAGCAAGGUCUCUAGUAUUUAUCAGAAUGAUAUAAAACAAUAGUGAGAUUAUAAAAGUAAACCUUUUAGUUUUCAGUUUUGCUUUAUCUCUACGAUUUGAUUAUCUUAACGAAUAAAUCAUGUGUAUAAACGAGUUUUUCUCAAUAUAUGGAGCAAGUAGGAUACUCAAAUAGCUAUAGUUGUGCCAUUACUUUGAUUUUUACUGUCUUAAUCGUAUUUUAAGUGCUAAUUACUUUGGUUUGACAAACUAUAACAAAAAUCGCAAAUAUCCAAGAAAAUCGAAAUUUAAUUGGUAGUUACUUUGAUUUGACAAACUAUAUUAACCACGAUGAAGACAGUUGUGCGAACUUGUAACCCGGUGAUCAAUGAGAUAUGAGGUAUAUUGUAGUGAUUGAUUAUUUAUGAACUUCUUGAAAUCAAUGACAACUAUCUGAUAAUGUAAAUCAUGUUCAACGUUCUUAAUCUAAGUUUUAUUAAGUAACAUGAAAAAUCGUAUGUAUGUUAGGAAAUUAAGAUCCAAAAGUCAGUUUUUAACUACUAAAAUAUUUCUAACCAUGCAUUUUUACAAAAAAAUUUAAAUAAAAGGUAUUGAUUUUUUAAUUAAUGGUAAUGGACUUGAGAUAGACACAUGACGGAUGAUUAAUGACGGUUAUUAAGUGCUGGAAAGUAAUCGAUAAACCGAAAAAAAAAAAAAAGUAAAAGAAGAAAGUGACAAAAAAGCUUCUGUUCAUGGUUCAUAUGGUACGUGUUAGAUUCUUGAAGCAGAAC
rnacentral:lncRNA from 1 species